rnacentral:lncRNA from 1 species
GGCUGUUAAGGUUUCUUCCUUUGGAGCCAGGAAUGCGGCAUUGCCACAAUUGUGUCUUCCCAGCAUUUGGGAUUUAUAUAUAAAUGCACCUCUGUGUGUGUUGGCCCUUGUCACCACAGAAGAAUUUGUUUUAUGUCUAUAACAUAGAAUGAAUUAAUGCCGUUCCCUAAAAAAUAGAAACGUGGAGAAGAUCACAUGAGAACUCAUCUGCUGCAAGAGCAAGAGGUCUGUGUUUCUGAUACACUCAGGGCAAAGGAGGAUGCACAUUGUCUACAUUCUUGAAGUCUGUUAGCUGGUGGCAUGCUUGUUGAAAGUACCCUCUUGAACCGAUGUUCAAAAAUUCCACUCUUGAAGAAAGAUGUAGAUGUUAUGAAUUACCUUCUUUCAUUCUCUUUGAGCUUCCCUUCCGUAUCCAGGGAUUCAGAUUCAUUCUACUUUAUCUCAAGAUGAGUUUCCUGUGCUCUUAAACAAGUAAUAUCAAAAGUAUGUAAGUAUUUUGAGUAAUAUUGGAAAGUAUGUAAACACCAGCCUCUUGUUUCAAAUUGGGACCUAUUAACGUGUUGGAAGGUAAGUUUAGG